AGUGAACGCUGGCGGUAGGCCUAACACAUGCAAGUCGAACGGCAGCACAGUAAGAGCUUGCUCUUACGGGUGGCGAGUGGUGGACGGGUGAGGAAUACAUCGGAAUCUACUUUUUCGUGGGGGAUAACGUAGGGAAACUUACGCUAAUACCGCAUACGACCUACGGGUGAAAGCAGGGGAUCUUCGGACCUUGCGCGAUUGAAUGAGCCGCUGUCGGAUUAGCUAGUUGGCGGGGUAAAGGCCCACCAAGGCGACGAUCCGUAGCUGGUCUGAGAGGCUGAUCAGCCACCCUGGAACUGAGACACGGUCCAGGCUCCUGCGGGAGGCAGCAGUCGGGAAUAUUGGGCAGUGGGCGCAAGCAUGAUCCAGCCAUACCGCGUGGGUGAAGAAGGCGUUCGGGUUGUGAAGCCCUUUUGUUGGGAGAGAAAAGCAGCAGGUUGAUACCCCGCUGUUCUGACGGUACCCAAAGAAUAAGCACCGGCUAACUUCGUG
rnacentral:rRNA from 1 species